GUUCCUGUAGUUGAGUAACAACGGUGGUUUUUCAAGCCAUGGGGCCGGGUUAGAGUCCCGGGAGGAAUU
rnacentral:tRNA from 1 species